UUUAGGAGAGCGCUAGCAGGAUAGCGGCUACACACUGCAGUAACAGUGACGCCUCUGCAGGGGACAGGACGUCAGCCAGGGGAGGUGUCUCCUGAACCAUAUGGAGGAUCUUAUCUGGCAACCCAACAGGACUUCCUCCCGGCGCUGAUCCGAUGAGCAGCUCGCUCAGGCUCCUCUCCACCUCAGCACGGGACAGCGGCCACGUUCACGUGCUCCCAAACCCAACCUCCCGCAGCACAGUGUCACGAGGAUAGCUUCUGAUUUGGCCAUCUCCCAGAGGAUUGGGGUCCUCCUCCAAAUCAUCCAACUCCAGACAGAUGGUUCCUGCUGUCACCUGGAGGUUCAGGUGCGGUCUACAGCGAUGCUUUACGGACAUUCUGUUCUCCAUCACACCCCUCAUGAAUACCCAUGAAGAGCCCGCGUAUCUGACCAAUUAGAGCUUAAACAAUAGCAGAGACAGUGUUAUUAAUGUGGAGCUGACCAUCUGGGUUAUAUUAGUGGGAAUGUCUGGUGGCUUGCAGGUACCUGCUGCAGACCGGCUGGCCCAUUACACAGUGGCACAGGCCCAUCCAUCUGCUGAUUGGAACUUUCUACUGUUUUCUUUUUUCCUGGCUGGAGUGAGCAUGCUCAGAUCCCCAUCCGUCCUUUCAAUCGCCGCCAGUAAAGGAAACGAUCAGAGCUAAUAUAAGUGGACGUGGUAUCCCAGGCAGCCAUCUUUAUUCAGGGCUCAAAUCCACGUGUUUGCCUGGAGCCAGGGAGGGGAGCCGGGGCUGACCCAGCGAGGGGAGCUGGUCCCUGCACACCAGGGCUGACCCAGCGAGGGGAGCCAGGGUUGACCCAACGAGGGGAGCCGGUCCCUGCACCCCGAGGCUGACCCAGCGAGGGGAGCCGGGGCUGACCCAGCGAGGGGAGCUGAUCCCUGCACACCAGGGCUGUACAUCAGUACGCCAACGGCAGGAUCGGAUCUCUGUCCCUUUAUUGUGCUGUCAUUGUUACCAUAGAGACAGCAGAUACUGAAUUUGUUUUUGUUGUAAAGAGCCUUGCAGGCGUUACUCUUCAGGUCAUCUCAUUGUAGGGAUUUUGGUAAAUGGAGAAAUUCGGCAUGACCGCACCCUAACCCUAACCCUAACCCUAACCCUAACCCUAGCCCUAACCCUAACCCUAACCCUAACCCUAACCCUAACCCUAACCCUAACCCUAGCCCUAGCCCUAACCCUAGCCCUAGCCCUAGCCCUAACCCUAACCCUAACCCUAACCCUAACCCUAACCCGAACCCGAACCCGA